UACGUAGGGGGCAAGCGUUGUCCGGAAUCAUUGGGCGUAAAGCGCGUGUAGGCGGCCCGGUAAGUCCGCUGUGAAAGUCGGGGGCUCAACCCUCGAAAGCCGGUGGAUACUGUCGGGCUAGAGUGCGGAAGAGGCGAGUGGAAUUCCUGGUGUAGCGGUGAAAUGCGCAGAUAUCAGGAGGAACACCGAUUGCGAAGGCAGCUCGCUGGGACGUAACUGACGCUGAGACGCGAAAGCGUGGGGAGCAAACAGG
rnacentral:rRNA from 1 species